GGCUCGGUAGCUAAGUCGGUAAAGCACUUAUUUAGCAUAUAAGGGUCGUGAGUUAAAAUCUCACUUGAGCUG
rnacentral:tRNA from 1 species